UAAAAGGGUUUCUGUCGUGAGUGGCACACGUAGAGCAGCUUGAUUGCUCCACGUGCAGAAUCGACAUCGAGAGAUUUCGGGAGCAUAAUUUUUUGGUCCUUGGCAGCUGGUGAUUGUUGGUCCUGGCGCCCUC